AUGUUUCAUCUCAGUGAGUGAAACAGAAGAUGAAGAUGAUAAAUCACUUCAAAUGACCAGAAUUGGUCUCGGUGAAAUCACUAUCAAUCGUCCACUGAAAGCCAAUGGAACUUACUAAUAUUACGCUGGAAUUAUGCAGAUAAGUGGGAAGUCAUUUUUCUUUGAAGCUGCUAUGAUUUUGGACGUCUGGAACAUCAACCCCUGUGAUUUCUCUUUGAUGGAUAGAAAGUGGGAAGUCCUUUGAUGCCUUGAGCUGCUUCGAUAUGGCCAGCUUCUGGCAUUGUCUCUCCGCCCAUUCCGCCUUCUUCCUUAUUGAUUACAUAAUGCUACUCCUUCUAAGGCAAUGCCAAACGAUACAAAACUGCAAAAUUCUUGAAGCUAGAAAAGAUUCUCAAUUAGUGGAUUGUUUAAUACCAAAAA